CAGUCGCCGCGGGAAUACAGAGGGUGCAAGCGUUAAUCGGAAUUACUGGGCGUAAAGCGCGCGUAGGUGGUUUGUUAAGUUGAAUGUGAAAUCCCCGGGCUCAACCUGGGAACUGCAUCCAAAACUGGCAAGCUAGAGUAGGGCAGAGGGUGGUGGAAUUUCCUGUGUAGCGGUGAAAUGCGUAGAUAUAGGAAGGAACACCAGUGGCGAAGGCGACCACCUGGGCUCAUACUGACACUGAGGUGCGAAAGCGUGGGGAGCAAACAGGAUUAGAUACCCCUGUAGUCCCUGUCUCUUAUAC
rnacentral:rRNA from 1 species